rnacentral:rRNA from 1 species
UCCUACGGGAGGCAGCAGUGGGGAAUAUUGGGCAAUGGAGGCAACUCUUACCCAGCAAUGCCGCGUGAAUGAAGAAGGUCUUCGGAUUGUAAAGUUCUUUAAUUGGGGACGAAAAAAAUGACGGUACCCAAGGAAUAAGCCCCGGCUAACUACGUGCCAGCAGCCGCGGUAAUACGUAGGGGGCAAGCGUUAUCCGGAUUUACUGGGUGUAAAGGGAGCGUAGACGGCAGUGCAAGUCCGGAGUGAAAGCCCGGGGCUCAACCCUGGGACUGCUCUGGAAACUGUAAAGCUGGAGUGCGGGAGGG